GUGCUGGGACUGCUUCCUACAGAGAGAGAAGCCCUGGGCCCUGGGGUCAGUUCUGAGAGCAGACAAGAGAGGGGCAGGUGCCCACGCUCUGUCCUGCGAGGGGGCAGCUCUUCGGGUGCAGGGGUCCAGCUGCCCUGUGCGGUGCUGGGUGGGGGGCUCGUGUCCUGUCACUGGAAUGGCCCAGGCAGCCGGGACCUGACUCCGGUGCAGCUCCAGGGCCCAGGGGGCCCAGCCACGCACGUCCUCUCAUCUGUCCCAGAACCCCCUGGCAGACUCCCCACACAGGGUCCUGGACACUUGUCCCUGAAAUACGGGGGCAGCAGCGUUUGGGCCACGGCAGAUGAGGCUGAAUUGCUGUUGUUGAAAGCUGUCUGUCUGACAGGCAGAGAGGGAGAGAGGUCUUCCAUCUGCUGGUUCACUCCCCAGACAGCCACACGGCCAGCGCUGGGCCAGGCCGAAGCCAGGAUCCCGGGACUUUGUCUGGGUCUUCCACGUGGCGGCAGGGGCACUUGGCCAUUACUCGCUGCUUUCCCAGGUGCGUUAGGUGGGAGCUGGAUCAGAAGCAGCACCGUGGGGACCCCCAGCCCUUGGCCACGGGGUGCCAGCACCGCCCUCUGCACAAGGCCGGCCCGGGGCUGUUCUGUCCAGAGCGGCCCUUCCCGCACAGGGGCCUGGAGCCUCGCUGUCCACGCAGGCGUCCCUGUGAGCGGCUUCAGGGUGGGAGGCCUUCACCCCCUCCGCUGGGUCCUCCAGGGACACAGCAGCCACAGCCUGACACGGCUGGGAGGCCCGGGGCCGGGGUCAGAGCCAGGAUCCAGAGCACAAGGUCCCCUCUGGGCCUUCCUUGUCCAGAGCCUGGGCCAGCCUGGCCCGAGGCAGAGCACGCAGAGGUGGGCAGGGCCAGCACGCGGCCCGGCAGACCCGCAAACGGGCAGAAGCUGGACCGAGCAGAGGGGCGGCUCUUCCACCAGGCCUCCCCAGCAUACUGGACAGGGCAGUGAGACGCAGGGACCUCCCACCUGCUGCUUCACUCCCCCAACGCCUGCAACAGCCAGGACUGGGCCAGGCCGAAGCCAAAGCCCAGAACUCAGUCCAGGUCUCCACGUGGGUGGCAGGGGCCCAGGUACUGGAGCCGUCACCUGCUGCCCGCAGGGUGUGCCUGGGAGCUGGAAUCAGGUGGAGCCGGAACUCAACCCAGGCAUUGCGGGCAGCAACCCAGCCGCUGUGCCGAGCGCCUGCCCUGUCCUGCCCGAUUGUGGCGGGUGGCUUCCAGGUCUAGGGACGGCCCCCACAGCCACUGUCCAGCUCGCCGGCGGCCAGGACUCUGCCCACCACGAGCACCCAGUGUCCUGCGGGCCCCUCAGCCCACAAUGCUCAGUGAGUCUGGCCUUGGCUGGAGGGGGGCAGUUAGGGCCUGGGGCAGACGUGUGGGCUGGAGGGGGCAGUUAG
rnacentral:lncRNA from 1 species